CUCCAUUCUCUGCUCACCCCUCUCCCAGGACACUGCGCAGGCGACACGACGCCCCGCCUGACGCCCCGCCUUUCUCCCCGCCCUGCCGCGCCCCAGGGACGCAGCGCGCACAGGGACGCAGCGCGCACGCAACCGCGUUUCCGGCGCUACCUGGCUGCUGUGCCCCGCAGCUUGUGGCGCUUGUGGACCGCGUGGGCCUGCGGGAGAUCGGUGCGGCUCCUUGGGGAAUUCUUGUUCUCUUUUCUGGACUGAGAAGAGAAGAAUGGAGAAGAGCCCCUUCCCAUUGUGAGUGGACAGUAAAUGGGUAUGGAGUAGCCAGAAGCUUCUGGAAACCAGAGUUCCUUUCCUCAGCUGAAAAGAACCCUAAGAGUAGACUGCCUGGGAUUGCGUGGGGGAUGGGAGGAUCACUGGACCUGUGGGCCAGAGA
rnacentral:lncRNA from 1 species